rnacentral:rRNA from 1 species
AACGAACGCUGGCGGCAGGCCUAACACAUGCAAGUCGAGCGCCCUUUCGGGGGAGCGGCGGACGGGUGAGUAACGCGUGGGAAUAUGCCCUUCUCUACGGAAUAUCCUCGGGAAACUGAGAGUAAUACCGUAUACGCCCUGUGGGGGAAAGAUUUAUCGGGGAAGGAUUAGCCCGCGUUGGAUUAGGUAGUUGGUGGGGUAAUGGCCUACCAAGCCGACGAUCCAUAGCUGGUUUGAGAGGAUGAUCAGCCACACUGGGACUGAGACACGGCCCAGACUCCUACGGGAGGCAGCAGUGGGGAAUCUUAGACAAUGGGGGCAACCCUGAUCGAGCCAUGCCGCGUGAGUGAUGAAGGCCUUAGGGUUGUAAAGCUCUUUCAGCUGGGAAGAUAAUGACGGUACCAGCAGAAGAAGCCCCGGCUAACUCCGUG